CAACCUCAAAUUAGGUGAGAUUACCCGCUAAAUUUAAGCAUAUUAUUAAGCGGAGGAAAAGAAACUAACAAGGAUUUCCUUAGUAGCUGCGAGCGAACUGGAAAAAGCCCAGCACUAAAUUAUUAGUAUUUUGUAUACUAAUAAAAUGUAGUGUUUAAGAAGGUUAUUUAAUCAAAAGUAUUUUUGUUUGUUCAAGUUCAUCUUGAAUGGGGCCAAAAUCCAUAGAAGGUGCCAGGCCCGUAGAAACAAAUAAAUACUUUUGAAAAACCUUUCUUUAAAGUCGGGUUGCUUGAGAGUGUAACCUUAAGUGGGUGGUAAGUUCCAUCUAAGGCUAAAUAUAACCACGAGACCGAUAGCAAACAAGUACCGUGAGGGAAAGUUGAAAAGAACUUUGAAGAGAGAGUUCAAAAGUACGUGAAACCGUUUAGGGGUAAACGGAAAAGAACUAAAAAUCCGAAAAGGGAGAUUCACGUCUUCUCAUAUGUUAAAUAUAAUAAUUUUUAAGGAUAAUUAAUAAUCUAGUACUUUUGUAUUAGUAUAAUUAAUUGCCUUUAUUUAUUAUAAAAUAGCAAUGGUAGACCGCACUUCUCUCUUAGUAGGACGUCGCGACCCGCUAGUUUAUAAUUAUAAGAACAUAUUAUUUAGUUUUGUUAUAAUAUAAUUUAUAUUAUAUUGUAACACAAAGAUAUGUAUCUAAUUAAAUAACUGGCGGUAUAAAACGAUAGUGUUAAGUCGCUUUUUUUUUUUAAUUAAAGCGUUUAAACAAAUUUUUAUUUUUUAAUUAUUAUUAAAUAACAACUUUGUUUGAUUAUUUAUAAUGUUAAUUAUAAAAAUUUUGUUUUAAACAGGCUUACAACACUAGUCAGCGGCGCUACAGUUUUAGUAACUUUUCCGACCCGUCUUGAAACACGGACCAAGGAGUCUAACAUGUGCGCAAGUCAUUUGGUUUAAUAAACCAAAAGGCAUAACAAAAGUAAAGUAAGCUUUGCUUAAUUAGGGAGGAUAAUUAUUAAUAAGAAAAUUUUUUUUCUUAUUAUAAUUCGCACUCCCGGGGCGUCUAUUACUCAUUGCGAGUAAAGGCGCACCUAGAGCGUACACGUUGGGACCCGAAAGAUGGUGAACUAUGCCUGGCCAGGAUGAAGCCAGGGGAAACCCUGGUGGAGGUCCGUAGCGAUUCUGACGUGCAAAUCGAUCGUCAGAGCUAGGUAUAGGGGCGAUAGACUUAUCGAACUAUCUAGUAGCUGGUUCCUUCCGAAGUUUCCCUCAGGAUAGCUGGUGUCAAUGAUGAUUAGAGUCUCAUCUGGUAAAGCGAAUGAUUAGAGGCCUUGGGGCCGAAACGACCUCAACCUAUUCUCAAACUUUAAAUGGAUGAGAGCCUUGGCUUGCUUAAAAGUGAAGCCAAGGAUUUGGAUCUAGAUGCCAAGUGGGCCAAUUUUGGUAAGCAGAACUGGUGCUGUGGGAUGAACCAAACGCAAAGUUAAGGCGCCUGAAUCAACGCUCAUGAGACACCAUGAAAGGCGUUGGUUGCUUAAGACAGCAGGGCGGUGGCCAUGGAAGUCGGAAUCCGCUAAGGAGUGUGUAACAACUCACCUGCCGAAGCAACUAGCCCUGAAAAUGGAUGGCGCUGUAGCGUUGUGCCUAUACUUUGCCGUUAACGGCAAAUAUGGCAAUAUAUAUAUUUAUAUAUAUAUUGUGCUAUAUUAAGCCUUAACGAGUAGGAAGGUCGCAGCGAUGAGCGUAGAAGGGUCUGGGUGUAAACCUGCCUGGAGCCGUCGCUGGUGCAGAUCUUGGUGGUAGUAGCAAAUACUCCAGCGAGGACCUGGAGGACUGUUGUGGAGAAGGGUUUCUUGUGAACAGCUGUUGCACAAGAGUCAGUCGAUCCUAAGCUCUAGGAGAAAUCCAAUGUUGAUAGAUGCCCUAAUUUGAAAGGCAUCUGUAGAGCGAAAGGGAAUCUGGUUCCUAUUCCAGAACCUGGUAGCGGAACCGUUUCAAAUUCGAGCCCUUUAAUGAGCUUGUCGGGGUAACCCAAAAAGACCCGGAGACGCCGUUGGAAGGUUUGGGGAGAGUUGUCUCUUCUCUAUAAGCGUUCGAGUUCCCUGGAAUCCUCUAGCAGGGAGAUAGGGUUUGGAACGCGAAGAGCAUCGCAGUUACGGCGGUGUCCAAAUCUUUCCUUCGGACCUUGAAAAUCCGGGCGAGGGCUACGAGGAACACCGCACCAGAUCGUACCCAUAUCCGCAGCAGGUCUCCAAGGUGAAUAGCCUCUAGUCGAUAGAAUAAUGUAGGUAAGGGAAGUCGGCAAGCUUGAUCCGUAACUUCGGGAUAAGGAUUGGCUCUGAGGAUCGUGGCGUGCUGGGCUUGGUUGGGAAGUGGAGCGGUGUCAAUUAGCCGGGCCUGGGCAAAGUAAACAGUUUUAACUGUUAAUCUAAGCUCGGUCCCGUGCCUUGGCCACCCAUGGAUCUUCCUUGCAAUAGGCUUCACAAUUGUCAGUUACUAAGUUUUA
rnacentral:rRNA from 1 species